rnacentral:rRNA from 1 species
UACGUAGGCAGCAAGCGUUGUUCGGAUUUACUGGGCGUAAAGGGCGCGUAGGCGGCGUGACAAGUCACUUGUGAAAUCUCUGAGCUUAACUCAGAACGGCCAAGUGAAACUGUUGUGCUAGAGUGCAGAAGGGGCAAUCGGAAUUCUUGGUGUAGCGGUGAAAUGCGUAGAUAUCAAGAGGAACACCUGAGGUGAAGACGGGUUGCUGGGCUGACACUGACGCUGAGGCGCGAAAGCCAGGGGAGCAAACGGG